UCUCUCCCUCUAUCUUGUUAUUUCUCUCCGCUCUUAUCCCCCUUCUCUCAAAUCCCUCCUUUCAGCACCCAAUCCCCUUCCUUUCCCGUUUUUGCCUAGCUAUGCAACAAACCGCAUGUAGAUAACCAAAUUGAAGCAAAGGAAGAAAGGAUUGUAUUAAAGACUCCACAGAUAAGCAGGAAGAGAGAAAUUGGCCAAGAGUGACAAGAUAGAAACCAGGUGAAGGGGUCAGGCACCUGUUAGGGGAUUCAAACGCGGAUCAGCAGGAGAAAGUUAUUUCGUCAACCAAUGAGCCACAACUCGAUCUGCGAUGGAAGCUACUUGAUUUCUUACGACAAUUUGCUAACCCUACCCUACCAUGUGAAAGAACAUGGGCCCAAUGUUGUUUUAAAAAGGGACCUUUGGUGGAAAUGCCUUUCAUGAUUGAUCUAUCUCUCAUUUUCUUCAUAUGUGAAAAGAAUAUGUACUUAGUACUAAUCUUUCACUUCAAACAUUCUACCA